rnacentral:rRNA from 1 species
ACUGUUUGGGGAUGAGCCCGCGUACCAUUACUUGUGGUGGGGUAAAGGCCCACAGGCGACAUGGUUACUGGUCUGAAGAUGAUCAGCACACUGGAACUGGAACACGGUCCAGACUCCUACGGGAGGCAGCAGUGAGGAAUUUUGCGCAAUGGGGGUAACCCUGACGCAGCAACGCCGCGGUGAGUUGAUGAAGGCCUUUCGGGUCGUAAAGGCUCUGUCAAGUGGGAAGAACCCAUCCCGGCACAACAAGCCGGGGUGCUGACGGUACCACUGAAAGGAAGCACCGGCUAACUCCGUGCCAGCAGCCGCGGUAAUACGGAGGGUGCGAGCGUUAUUCGGAAUUACUGGGCGUAAAGGGCGCGUAGGCGGCCGAUUAAGUCAGAUGUGAAAUCCCGGGGCUUACCCCCGGAAGUGCAUUUGAUACUGAACGGCUUGAGUAUGGGAGAGGGAAGUGGAAUUCCUGGUGUAGCGGUGAAAUGCGUAGAUAUCAGGAGGAACACCGGUGGCGAAGGCGACUUCCUGGACCAAUACUGACGCUGAGGCGCGAAGGCGUGGGGAGUAAACAGGAUUAGAUACCCUGGUAGUCCACGCAGUAAACGGUGAUCACUAGGUGUAGCGGGUAUUGACCCCUGCUGUGCCGGAGUUAACGCAUUAAGUGAUCCGCCUGGGGAGUACGGCCGCAAGGUUAAAACUCAAAGGAAUUGACGGGGGCCCGCACAAGCGGUGGAGCAUGUGGUUUAAUUCGACGCAACGCGAAGAACCUUACCUGGAUUUGACAUCUCGGGAAUCCCGCGGAAACGCGGGAGUGCCCUUCGGGGAGCCCGAAGACAGGUGCUGCAUGGCUGUCGUCAGCUCGUGUCGUGAGAUGUUGGGUUAAGUCCCGCAACGAGCGCAGCCCCUAUCUUCAGUUACCAGCGAGUAAAGUCGGGGACUCUGGGGAUACUGCCCCGGUCAACGGGGAGGAAGGUGGGGAUGACGUCAAGUCCUCAUGGCCUUUAUGUCCAGGGCUACACACGUGCUACAAUGGGCUGUACAGAGGGAAGCGAUCUCGCGAGGGUGAGCCAAUCCCAAAAAGCAGUCCUCAGUUCGGAUUGGAGUCUGCAACUCGACUCCAUGAAGCUGGAAUCGCUAGUAAUCGCGGAUCAGCAUGCCGCGGUGAUACGUUCCCGGGCCUUGUACACACCGCCCGUCACACCAUGAGAGUUGGCUGUACCAGAAGUCGUCGGGCCAACCACGCCUUUGGCGUGGGGGCAGGCGCCUAAGGUAUGGCUGAUGAUUG